CGACGUUGGCUACUAUGCCAGCUGGUGGAUAGCUCGGCUCGAGAGCUGAAGAAGGACGUGCCAAGCUGCGAAAAGCCUGAGGGAGCCGCACGGAGGCUAAGAACUCAGGAUUUCCGAAUGAGAAUCUCUUCACAAUUGCUUCGCGCAAUGAGGAACCCCGAGAACUGAAACAUCUCAGUAUCGGGAGGAAAAGAAAACGCAACGUGAUGUCGUCAGUAACCGCGAGUGAACGCGAUACAGCCCAAACCGAAGCCCUCACGGGCAAUGUGGUGUUUGGACUGACUCUCAUCAGCAGACCAUUUCGACGAAGUCCCUUGGAACAGGGCGUGAGACAGGGUGACAACCCCGUACUCGAAAUCAGUACGCUGUGCGUCAGUUCCGGAGUAGCGGGGGUUGGAUAUCCCUCGCGAACAACGCAGGCAUCGACUGCGAAGGCUAAACACUCCUCGAGACCGAUAGUGCACAAGUAGUGUGAACGAACGCUGCAAAGUACCCUCAGAAGGGAGGCGAAAUAGAGCUUGAACUCAGUUGGCGAUGGAGCGACGGGGCAUACAAGGUCCCGUGA
rnacentral:rRNA from 1 species